UUUUUUUUGCAAAAUAGACUACCUUUUUUGAAUUUUGCAGAUUAAAUCUGAAUUUUUAAUAAACUGGCCAAAAUAUCUUUAUUUUUUUUUCUCUCUUUUUGCUCUCUCUCAUGUUCGUUUUUCUCCUUCCUCUUCGUAUUUCCUUUUCACCAUCCUUUCCUUUCUUUCUUCUCCCGCUUCCUCUCCCUCCUCCACUGCCCCCCACAUUGAUGCUGCACUCCUCUUUCCUACCUUGCUUAUA
rnacentral:lncRNA from 1 species